UGGAGAGUUUGAUCCUGGCUCAGAGCGAACGUUAGCGGCGGGCUUAACACAUGCAAGUCGAACGCGAAAACCCCUUCGGGGGCCAGUAGAGUGGCGCACGGGUGAGUAACACGUAGGCAACCUACCCUUUGGCGGGGGACAACUGUCCGAAAGGACAGCUAAUACCGCAUAAGACCACAGCUUCUGCGGAGGCAGUGGUAAAAGAUGGCUUCGGCUAUCGCCAGAGGAUGGGCCUGCGUACCAUCAGCUUGUUGGUGGGGUAAUGGCCUACCAAGGCAAAGACGGUUAGCUGGUCUGAGAGGAUGAUCAGCCACACUGGCACUGGAACACGGGCCAGACUCCUACGGGAGGCAGCAG
rnacentral:rRNA from 15 species